UACGGAGGGUGCGAGCGUUAUCCGGAUUUACUGGGUUAAAGGGUGUGUAGGCGGGCUAUUAAGUCAGCGGUGAAAUCUUCGGGCUCAACCCGGAAACUGCCAUUGAUACUAUUAGUCUUGAAUACUGUGGAGGUAUGCGGAAUGUGUCAUGUAGCGGUGAAAUGCUUAGAGAUGACACAGAACACCGAUUGCGAAGGCAGCGUACUACACAGUGAUUGACACUGAGGCACGAAAGCGUGGGGAUAAACAGG
rnacentral:rRNA from 1 species